rnacentral:rRNA from 1 species
CAAUAGCGUAUAUUAAAGUUGUUGCAGUUAUAAAGCUCGUAGUUGGAUUUCUGGUCGGAAGCUCCUGUCCUCUGAUGAGCGUACAAGUGCGUCCUACCAUCCUUCUGUUAACCUUUAAGGCUUUCGCGGCUUUCUAGGGGCUCAGAUAUUUUACCUUGAGAAAAUUAGAGUGUUUCAGGCAGGCUAGCGCCGGAAUACAUUAGCAUGGAAUAAUGGAAUAGGACUUUUGCCUCUUCUGUUGGUCAUGAGGCUCGAGUAAUGAUUAAUAGGGAUAGUUGGGGGCAUUAGUACUUAACUGUCAGAGGUGAAAUUCUCGGAUUUGUUAAAGACUAACUUAUGCGAAAGCAUUUGCCAAGGAUGUUUUCAUUAA